UUACGGAGAGUUUGAUUCUGGCUCAGAACGAACGCUGGCGGCGUGGAUAAGACAUGCAAGUCGAACGGGCGCAGCAAUGCGUCAGUGGCGAAAGGGUGAGUAACACGUGGGAAUCUACCGGAAAGUUCGGGAUAGCUCGCCGAAAGGUGAGGUAAUACCGGAUGUUGUCGCUGUUAAAGGCGACCAAAGGGGGGGAUCGUAAGACCUCCUGCUUUUUGACGAGCCCGCGGCCUAUCAGCUUGUUGGUGAGGUAAUGGCUCACCAAGGCUAUGACGGGUAGCUGGUCUGAGAGGACGACCAGCCACACUGGAACUGAGACACGGUCCAGACACCUACGGGUGGCAGCAGUCGAGAAUCUUUCACAAUGGGGGAAACCCUGAUGGAGCGACGCCGCGUGGAGGACGAAGGUUUUCGGAUUGUAAACUCCUGUCACUGCAGAACAAGGGCUUUGGGAUUAAUACCCCCGGAGCUUGAUGGUAUGCGGAGAGGAAGGGACGGCUAACUCUGUGCCAGCAGCCGCGGUAAUACAGAGGUCCCGAGCGUUGUUCGGAUUCACUGGGCGUAAAGGGUGUGUAGGAGGCUGGGUAAGUCUGAUGUGAAAUCUCACCGCUUAACGGUGAAACGGCAUUGGAUACUGCCUGGCUAGAGGUCUUGAGGGGGAAUCGGAAUUCUUGGUGUAGCAGUGAAAUGCGUAGAUAUCAGGAGGAACACCAGUGGCGAAGGCGGAUUCCUGGAAAGAUUCUGACUCUGAAACACGAAAGCCAGGGGAGCAAACGGGAUUAGAUACCCCGGUAGUCCUGGCUGUAAACGGUGUGCGCUAGGUGUGCGCGGAUUCGACCCCGUGCGUGCCGAAGGUAACCCAUUAAGCGCACCGCCUGGGGAGUACGGUCGCAAGAUUAAAACUCAAAGAAAUUGACGGGGGCCCGCACAAGCGGUGGAGUAUGUGGCUUAAUUCGAUGCAACGCGAAGAACCUUACCUGGGCUUGACAUGCUAGUGGUAGGACCCUGAAAGGGGAACGAUCUCGCAAGAGAAGCUAGCACAGGUGCUGCAUGGCUGUCGUCAGCUCGUGUCGUGAGAUGUUGGGUUAAGUCCCGCAACGAGCGCAACCCCUAUGAUUAGUUGCUUAUCGCACUCUAAUCAGACUGCCCUGUGAAACGGGGAGGAAGGUGGGGAUGACGUCAAGUCAGGAUGGCCCUUACGCCCAGGGCUGCACACGUACUACAAUGCUCAGUACAGAGGGUUGCGAUACCGCGAGGUGGAGCUAAUCCCAUAAAACUGAGCCCAGUUCGGAUUGGAGGCUGCAACUCGCCUCCAUGAAGCCGGAAUCGCUAGUAAUGGCGCAUCAGCUACGGCGCCGUGAAUACGUUCCCGGGCCUUGUACACACCGCCCGUCACAUCAUGAAAGCCUGUUGUACCCGAAGUGCCUCUGGCCCUAAGGUAUGGCCGGUGAUUGGGAUGAAGUCGUAACAAGGUAGCCGUAGGGGAACCUGCGGCUGGAUCACCUCCUUUCUAAGGAG
rnacentral:rRNA from 1 species